rnacentral:rRNA from 1 species
GAUGAACGCUAGCGACAGGCCUAACACAUGCAAGUCGAGGGGCAUCGGGACGUAGCAAUACGUUGCCGGCGACCGGCGGAUGGGUGAGUAACGCGUAUGCAACCUACCCGUAGCAGGGGGAUAGCCCGUUGAAAGACGGAUUAAUACCCCGUAACACAGGGGCUCCGCAUGGAGAUUAUUGUUAAAGGGUCAUUUCUUUUCAGGGAUGGUCCGGCUGCGGAUGGGCAUGCGUUCCAUUAGGUAGUUGGUGUAGGUAACUGCUCACCAAGCCGACGAUGGAUAGGGGAACUGAGAGGUUGGUCCCCCACACUGGUACUGAGACACGGACCAGACUCCUACGGGAGGCAGCAGUGAGGAAUUUUGGUCAAUGGACGCAAGUCUGAACCAGCCAUGUCGCGUGAAGGAGGACGGCCCUAAGGGUUGUAAACUUCUUUUGCAGUGGAAUAAAGUUUGCCACGUGUUGGCGAUUUGCAAGUACGCUGCGAAUAAGGAUCGGCUAACUCCGUGCCAGC